UACAGAGGCCCCAAGCGUUAUCCGGAAUUAUUGGGCGUAAAGGGUGUCAAGGCGGUCAUGUUAGUCGUUCGUUAAAUCUGUGGGCUCAACCUACAGCUCGCGAGCGAAACGGCAUGACUAGAGGUAGGGAGAGGUGCGUGGAACUCACGGUGUAGGGGUGAAAUCCGUUGAUAUCGUGGGGAACACCAAAGGCGAAGGCAGCGCACUGGCCCUCACCUGACGCUCACACACGAAAGCCAGGGUAGCGAACGGG
rnacentral:rRNA from 1 species